GAGGAGGACAAGGAAGGUGCGCUUCAGUGGCACAGUGAGAAGCUCGCAAUUGCAUUCAUGCUCCUGAGGACUCUUGGAAUACAGGUUCGGGUGGUAAAAAAAACCCUGCGACUAUGCUCUGGUUGUCAUGCAACAAUUAAGUGCAUAUCACAGAUUUAUAACUAGGAGAUGACAGUACGUGAUAGGAGUCGUUUCCAUCGCUUCAAGGAUGGUUCCUGCUCUUGCAAGGAUUUCUGA
rnacentral:rRNA from 1 species